rnacentral:rRNA from 1 species
UACAGAGGUCUCGAGCGUUAGGCGGAAUCACUGGGCUUAAAGCGUGUGUAGGUGGAUGCCUAAGUACCUUGUGAAAUCCCACGGCUUAACCGUGGAACUGCUUGGUAUACUGGGUGUCUUGAGUCACUCAGGGGCGAGCGGAACAAAUGGUGGAGCGGUGAAAUGCGUAGAUAUCAUUUGGAACGCCAAUGGUGAAAACAGCUCGCUGGGGGUGCACUGACACUGAGGCGCGAAAGCCAGGGGAGCAAACGGG